rnacentral:rRNA from 1 species
GACGAACGCUGGCGGCGUGCUUAACACAUGCAAGUCGAACGGAAAGGCCCUGCUUUUGUGGGGUGCUCGAGUGGCGAACGGGUGAGUAACACGUGAGUAACCUGCCCUUGACUUUGGGAUAACUUCAGGAAACUGGGGCUAAUACCGGAUAGGAGCUCCUGCUGCAUGGUGGGGGUUGGAAAGUUUCGGCGGUUGGGGAUGGACUCGCGGCUUAUCAGCUUGUUGGUGGGGUAGUGGCUUACCAAGGUUUUGACGGGUAGCCGGCCUGAGAGGGUGACCGGCAACAUUGGGACUGAGAUACGGCCCAGACUCCGACGGGAGGCAGCAGUGGGGAAUAUUGCACAAUGGGCGGAAGCCUGAUGCAGCAACGCCGCGUGCGGGAUGACGGCCUUCGGGUUGUAAACCGCUUUCGCCUGUGACGAAGCGUGAGUGACGGUAAUGGGUAAAGAAGCACCGGCUAACUACGUG